rnacentral:rRNA from 1 species
GACGGAGGAUGCAAGUGUUAUCCGGAAUCACUGGGCGUACAGCGUCUGUAGGUGGUCAAAUAAGUCAACUGUUAAAUCUUGAGGCUCAACCUCAAAAUCGCAGUCGAAACUAUUAGACUAGAGUAUAGUAGGGGUAAAGGGAAUUUCCAGUGGAGCGGUGAAAUGCGUAGAGAUUGGAAAGAACACCGAUGGCGAAGGCACUUUACUGGGCUAUUACUAACACUCAGAGACGAAAGCUAGGGUAGCAAAUGGG